GAGCAACAUAGCUUUGAAGCAACAAGAUUUGAUAGGGCCCUUUCUUGUUUCAGAUAAUAAUAGCACAUGUACUGUGAUGAUUAUAUAGCAUAUACAAUUUUCUUCAUCACAGGUAGAUGGGCAUUUGUUUUUUUCUUCAAUCAUUUUCAACAAUGGUCUAGAUUCCAUCAUUUUCACUAUUGGUUAAGAUGACCAACAAUGAUUAAAAAAAGAGUUGACAGGUCAUUAAAAUUGUAUUUAUUAAAAUAUUUCAUUCUUCUUUCUUUCUUUCUGUUGGUGGCCUUUCAUGUUCAUCUUUAGCCAACUUGUCAUGAGCAUCUAAAAGCACUCACACAAAGUAGUAGCCUUUCAACUGCAAAACUAUACUACUCUGACAAGAUUUCUUUUGAUCCAAUAGCUUACUCUCUUUGCCGUUGUUUCUCAAACAAGGGGUUGGUUCUAUAGCUAAACUACAAAUCGGGAGAAGAUCCUGAGAAUUUGUAUUUGAAAGGCAAUUUUAGUCAUGGAGAAUGAAGGACAAAGAGAGAAAGGAGAAUCAAACAACUUUGUGGACGUUGUCAAAGUUCUGGAUUUCAUGGAGAGGUUAGAGAAUGAAGAGGAUCAAAAUGCUGUCGACAU